GACAGAGGGUGCAAACGUUGUUCGGAAUUACUGGGCGUAAAGCGCGUGUAGGCUGCUCGGAAAGUCGGAUGUGAAAGCCCUGGGCUCAACCUAGGAAGUGCAUUCGAAACUACCGAGCUGGAGUUCUGGAGAGGAAGGCGGAAUUCUCGGUGUAGAGGUGAAAUUCGUAGAUAUCGAGAGGAACACCGGUGGCGAAGGCGGCCUUCUGGACAGUGACUGACGCUGAGA
rnacentral:rRNA from 1 species